GACAGAGGGUGCAAACGUUGCUCGGAAUCACUGGGCGUAAAGGGCGCGUAGGCGGCCCGGCAAGUCAACGGUGAAAGCUUGGGGCUCAACCCCGAGUCGGCCGUCGAUACUUCCGGGCUGGAGCACUGUAGGAGGCAGGUGGAAUUCCGGGUGUAGCGGUGGAAAUGCGUAGAGAUCCGGAAGAACGACCGGUGGCGAAGGCGGC
rnacentral:rRNA from 1 species